rnacentral:rRNA from 1 species
GUUACCCACAGAAGAAGCACUGGCUAACUCUGUGCCAGCAGCCGCGGUAAUACAGAGAGUGCAAGCGUUAAUCGGAAUCACUGGGCGUAAAGUGCGCGUAGGUGGAUGUUUAAGUCGGAUGUGAAAGCCCUGGGCUUAACCUAGGAACUGCAUCCGAUACUGGAUGUCUCGAGUAUGGUAGAGGGAAGUGGAAUUUCCGGUGUAGCGGUGAAAUGCAUAGAUAUCGGAAAGAACACCAGUGGCGAAGGCGGCUUCCUGGACUAAUACUGACACUAAGGCGCGAAAGCGUGGGGAGCAAACAGGAUUAGAGACCCUGGUAGUCCACGCCGUCAACGAUGAGAACUAGCUGUUGGGGAGUUUACUUUCUAGUAGCGAAGCUAACGCGUUAAGUUCUCCGCCUGGGGAGUACGGCCGCAAGGUUAAAACUCAAAGAAAUUGACGGGGGCCCGCACAAGCGGUGGAGCAUGUGGUUUAAUUCGAUGCAACACGAAAAACCUUACCUACCCUUGACAUCCUCGGAAUUUGUCAGAAAUGACU